UACAGAGGGGGCAAGCGUUGUUCGGAAUUACUGGGCGUAAAGCGUGCGCAGGCGGUUCGUUAAGUCAGAUGUGAAAGCCCCGGGCUCAACCUGGGAACUGCAUUUGAAACUGGCGGGCUUGAGUGUGGCAGAGGGGGGUGGAAUUCCGCGUGUAGCAGUGAAAUGCGUAGAGAUGCGGAGGAACACCGAUGGCGAAGGCAGCCCCCUGGGCCAACACUGACGCUCAGGCACGAAAGCGUGGGGAGCAAACAGG
rnacentral:rRNA from 1 species